rnacentral:misc_RNA from 1 species
GGAAGGAUCAUUACCGAGUGAAGGGUUUUUAUCAAAGCCUGAUCUCCCAACCCUUGUCUUCCUUACCACUUUACUUUGGCAGGCCCGUCACUAUUAUGACCGCUGAAGGAUUUUAGUUAUAAAAUAUGAACUAAACCUUGGGCCUGUGCCUGCCAGGGGAAUUUAAAUACAUGUUAUGAAAUCAGUUAUCUGAGCAUUCAAAAUAAAAAUAACCAAAACUUUCAACAACGGAUCUCUUGGUUCUGGCAUCGAUGAAGAACGCAGCGAAAUGCGACAAGUAAUGUGAAUUGCAGAAUUCCGUGAAUCAUCGAAUCUUUGAACGCACAUUGCGCCCUCUGGUAUUCUGGAGGGCAUGCCUGUCCGAGCGUCAUUGCUAUACCUCAAGCCCGGCUUGUGUGAUGGACUCACUGUCCGAUAGGACAGUAGCCCUAAAGGCAGUGGCAGGGUUGCAGUCUGGUCUUUUUAAAUGCGUAUGGGGCAGUGUCACUCGCUUAAAAACUGGCUCGACCCUUUAAGCCAAUUGUGAGAGAAAUUCACAAUAUUUUUGUUUCCUGAUGGACCUCGGAUCAGGUAGGGAUACCCGCUGAACUUAAGCAUAUCAAUAAGCGGAGGAAAAGAAACCAACAGGGAUUGCCUUAGUAACGGCGAGUGAAGCGGCAAGAGCUCAAAUUUGAAAUCUGGCCUCCUUAGGGGGCCCGAGUUGUAAUUUGGAGAGGAUGCUUCGGAUUCAGCCUCCUUCUAAGUGCCCUGGAACGGGCUGUCAUAGAGGGUGAGAAUCCCGUCUGGGAUGGAUGGCUGUACCCAUGUGAAGCUCCUUCAACGAGUCGAGUUGUUUGGGAAUGCAGCUCUAAAUGGGUGGUAAAUUUCAUCUAAAGCUAAAUAUUGGCCGGAGACCGAUAGCGCACAAGUAGAGUGAUCGAAAGAUGAAAAGCACUUUGAAAAGAGAGUGAAACAGCACGUGAAAUUGUUGAAAGGGAAGCGCUUGUGAUCAGACUCACCUUGGGAGGCUCUACCGGUACCUGUACCAGUUCAUUCUUCUCUGGGUGGGCCAGCGUCAGUUUGGGCGGUUAGUUAAAGGCUUCCGGAAUGUAUCGCCCUUUGGGGCGUCUUAUAGCCGGGAGUGCCAUGCAACCAGCCCAGACUGAGGAACGCGCUUCGGCUCGGACGCUGGCAUAAUGGUCAUAAGCGGCCCGUCUUGAAACACGGACCAAGGAGUCUAACAUCUAUGCAAGUGUUCGGGUGUUAAACCCGUCCGCGCAGUGAAAGCAAAUGGAGGUGGGAACCCUCUGGGUGCACCAUCGACCGAUCCUGAUGUCUUCGGAUGGAUUUGAGUAAGAGCAUAGCUGUUGGGACCCGAAAGAUGGUGAACUAUGCCUGAAUAGGGUGAAGCCAGAGGAAACUCUGGUGGAGGCUCGCAGCGGUUCUGACGUGCAAAUCGAUCGUCAAAUUUGGGUAUAGGGGCGAAAGACUAAUCGAACCAUCUGGUAGCUGGUUCCUGC